rnacentral:rRNA from 1 species
GACGAACGCUGGCGGCGUGCUUAACACAUGCAAGUCGAACGGUAAGGCCCUUCGGGGUACACGAGUGGCGAACGGGUGAGUAACACGUGGGUGAUCUGCCCUGCACUUCGGGAUAAGCCUGGGAAACUGGGACUAAUACCGGAUAGGACUCCGGACUGCAUGGUCUGGGGUGGAAAGCUUUUGCGGUGUGGGAUGGGCCCGCGGCCUAUCAGCUUGUUGGUGGGGUGAUGGCCUACCAAGGCGACGACGGGUAGCCGGCCUGAGAGGGUGACCGGCCACACUGGGACUGAGAUACGGCCCAGACUCCUACGGGAGGCAGCAGUGGGGAAUAUUGCACAAUAGGCGCAAGCCUGAUGCAGCGACGCCGCGUGAGGGAUGACGGCCUUCGGGUUGUAAACCUCUUUCAGCAUCGACGAAGCGAAAGUGACGGUAGGUGCAGAAGAAGGACCGGCCAACUACGUGCCAGCCGCCGCAGUAA